AGUGAACGCUGGCGGUAGGCCUAACACAUGCAAGUCGAACGGCAGCACAGUAAGAGCUUGCUCUUACGGGUGGCGAGUGGCGGACGGGUGAGGAAUACAUCGGAAUCUACUUUUUCGUGGGGGAUAACGUAGGGAAACUUACGCUAAUACCGCAUACGACCUACGGGUGAAAGCAGGGGAUCUUCGGACCUUGCGCGAUUGAAUGAGCCGAUGUCGGAUUAGCUAGUUGGCGGGGUAAAGGCCCACCAAGGCGACGAUCCGUAGCUGGUCUGAGAGGAUGAUCAGCCACACUGGAACUGAGACACGGCCCAGACUCCUACGGGAGGAAGCAGUGGGGAAUAUUGGACAAUGGGCGAAAGCCUGAUCCAGCCAUACCGCGUGGGUGAAGAAGGCCUUAGGGUUGUAAAGCCCUUUUGUUGGGAAAGAAAAGCAGCAGGUUAAUCCCCCGCUGUUCUGACGGUACCCAAAGAAUAAGCACCGGCUAACUUCGUG
rnacentral:rRNA from 1 species